CCAGACUCCUACGGGAGGCAGCAGUGGGGAAUAUUGCACAAUGGGGGAAACCCUGAUGCAGCGACGCCGCGUGAGUGAAGAAGUAUUUCGGUAUGUAAAGCUCUAUCAGCAGGGAAGAUAAUGACGGUACCUGACUAAGAAGCCCCGGCUAACUACGUGCCAGCAGCCGCGGUAAUACGUAGGGGGCAAGCGUUAUCCGGAUUUAUUGGGUUUAAAGGGUGCGCAGGCGGCCUGUUAAGUCAGCGGUAAAAGCCGGGGGCUAACCCCCGGCGAGCCGUUGAAGCUGGCGGGCUGGAGUUGGAGAGAAGUACGCGGAAUGCGCGGUGUAGCGGUGAAAUGCUUAGAUAUCGCGCAGAACCCCGAUUGCGAAGGCAGCGUACCGGCUCCACACUGACGCUGAGGCACGAAAGCGUGGGUAUCGAACAGGAUUAGAUACCCGCGUAAGC
rnacentral:rRNA from 1 species